UACGUAGGGUGCGAGCGUUAAUCGGAAUUACUGGGCGUAAAGCGUGCGCAGGCGGUUUUGUAAGUCAGAAUGUGAAAUCCCCGGGCUUAACCUGGGAACUGCGUUUGAAACUACAAGGCUAGAGUGUGACAGAGGGGGGUGGAAUUCCACGUGUAGCAGUGAAAUGCGUAGAGAUGUGGAGGAACACCGAUGGCGGAAGGCAGCCCCCUGGGUUAACACUGACGCUCAGGCACGAAAGCGUGGGGAGCAAACAGG
rnacentral:rRNA from 1 species